rnacentral:rRNA from 1 species
UUAAAUUGAAGAGUUUGAUCAUGGCUCAGAUUGAACGCUGGCGGCAGGCUUAACACAUGCAAGUCGAACGGUAACAUGAGUGCUUGCACUUGAUGACGAGUGGCGGACGGGUGAGUAAGGUAUGGGGAUCUGCCGAAUGGAGGGGGACAACAGUUGGAAACGACUGCUAAUACCGCAUAAAGUUGAGAGACCAAAGCAUGGGACCUUAGGGCCAUGCGCCAUUUGAUGAACCCAUAUGGGAUUAGCUAGUUGGUGGGGUAAGGGCUCACCAAGGCGACGAUCUCUAGCUGGUCUGAGAGGAUGACCAGCCACACUGGAACUGAGACACGGUCCAGACUCCUACGGGAGGCAGCAGUGGGGAAUAUUGCACAAUGGGGGGAACCCUGAUGCAGCCAUGCCGCGUGUAUGAAGAAGGCCUUCGGGUUGUAAAGUACUUUC